UCUCUCAAAGCAGACAGAUGAUCUGAAAGGAUGGUGUUUAUAGUCUGAGACUAUUAAAUUUGAGUCCAGCAAUAAAAUCCAGUUUAAAUGUUGACCUCAGAUAACUGAAACUACAGAAGACAAAACCUCAGAUAAGGGGGGGACUACUGUAACCCUUUUAGACACUGUGCCCAAACUUAAUAAAAUUGUGGCCUAUGAAAUACCAUUUCUCUACAAUGAAGAACUUGGAGUUCUUGGAGUCAGACCCCUUCAAAUCACUAGGAGAUGGCAAGAGAGCUUCUUCCUCAUAAACCUCUACCAACGGUGCAGGUGAGCCCUAGGCAUGGAAGGGGCUCACAAGACAAGAGUGUAACAGCAAAAAUGAUAGAGAAAUUUUUAUUCUCCUCUGAAGGUGAAAUCAACAACUUGGGGACUUUUGCUUCAACGCUGGACUUACUAAUUCACUAUGCAGACCACCCUGAGGGUCAAGUAGCUACCGACAGGAAGCAUUGCUGUGGGGGACCCCAAGCUGAAGAGGAGCCAGCUCUGUCUUAUUAGCUAAAUGACACAAAGUCUUCUUAAUCUCUGUGACUGUUAAUCUCUGUCACCUCUGAGAUGUGGGCAAUCUUUUCAACUGUUCUACCUGGUUUCAGCAGAACUGUUAAGGAAUGAAGAGGUGACUAAAGAUGAUCAGACCACUGGGAAGUGGGGGGCCUCCCCAGAGGCCCAGCAUUGUGAUAACAGAGAUAAUAAAAGACUCGCCAAAAGGGAGCUGAACACCUGGGAAAAACAGAUGGGGUAAUGAGCUCAGGUAUCUCUCCCUAAAAAGAGAGUUCCUCUCCAUGCCAGUUUGGAAGGAUCGGGGCUUGAGUAUAGUAAGGUCCUCUUACAUGAAAGUGCUCAAAGAGCAGUCAUUAUCUAACCCAUCCCAUACGUUUAUAUCCUUGGUAUAUUACAGUGGUUUAUAUUUAUAACAACAGCUCCAGCUGGACUCAGUGGCUCAUGCCUGUAAUUCCAAUACUUUAGGAGGCCGAGAUGGGAGGAUCACUUGAGGCCAAGAGUUGGAGACCAGCCUGGGCAACAUAGGGAGACCCUCAUCUCCACAAAAAUUUUUAAAAAUAGCUGGGCGUAAUGGUGCGCACCCAUGGUCCUAGCUACUUGGUAGGCUGAGGUGGGAGGAUUGCUUGAGCCCAGGAGUUUGAGACUGCAGUGAGCUAUGAUCAUGCCAGCCUGUGCUCCAGCCUGGAUGACAGAGCAAGACCCUGUUUCUAUAAAAAAGAGAAGCAAAACAGCCCUAUGUCAUAAAGGAUUAAAGUAUAUUCUGUAAAAUCUAAUAAUGUAGGAAAAUGUAUAGGACAUUUAAGAAAAAUAUUCAUUAAUAAAACAUUAUGUAUUACAAAA